AGUCGCUUUGGAUAAAAGCCUCUGCUAAAUGAAUAAAUGUAAAUGUCUUACUAGACAGGUGUCUAACUAGACAGGUCCUUUCGAGGGAAGGCAUCUCCAAAACCGUUGAUUUUGAACAAUCUAUUAGGACAGGAUGUACGUUAUCGCGCUGCAUGUAAUUAUGUGCACACACUAGCGCUCUCUGUCAGACGGGAGUCAAUUGUAUCUUCCUUCAACGGACCGGUACUUUGCAACUUGAGAGAGUUUAUUGUCACACAAGUUUAUUAAAUCUGUAGUCUAUUUAAACUUAAAUUAAGCUCACAUUUAAAUUAAGUUAGAUUUCAUUAAGUUCCAUUAAGUUAGUGUUAGGUAAACUUAAGGUAAUUACGGUACGGCAAGGUAAGUUAAGGUUAGCUUAGGUAAGCUAAGGUAAGCUAAACUAAGGUAAGUCGUUUUUAAGUUCAGUUAUGAAGAUAAGUUACACUUUAGUUAGUUAGUUAACAAAUGUAAGGUUUAAAAUACUUUAAAAUGGCGAGAAUGGCGAACAUUGUGAUUGUCCAUCAGCUUCUGCAGGAGUGGAUGGAAGAGGAGAGGUGUCGAAUGGAGCAGGACAGGGGUCAGCGCAGAGCCUAUCGCGCAAGGAUGGAGAUGCUGGCAGCGUACUUCUUUGAGGGUGGUGUACGGUAUGCCAGCCUGAACAGGGCAGUGCCCCUUCUCUGGCAUUAUUUUGCUGGGGAAGACACUCGCCCUGAUUUCCGGCUCAGCAGAGCCUACAUAACCGGUCUGCUGCAGCUGCUCAACCAGGAGCGGUGCCAUGGAUGGGGGCCAACCAUAGAGGUCCUGGUGUUGCUGUUUUGGCUGGCCAGCUGUGCGUCGUACCGCGUGGUGUCGAGGGCAUUCGACAUGCCCAGGACAACAGUGCACAACGUUGUCCAUAGGGUCUGUGGCUGUGUAGUUGUGGCGAUGAGUGCCAAGGGUGAUCAGGUUACCUUCCCCUGCAGCGGGACAGAGAGAGGUAUCGGAGGGUUUUGCCCGACUGGCUAGGCAUGGGGCUUUUGCCAGGGCCAUGGGAGCCAUUGACGGCUGCCAUGUUCGUAUCAAAUCCCCCGGAGAGCCCCAUGGCCAGGAUUAUUUCAACAGGAAAUUGUUUCCUUCCAUACAGCUGCAGGCGGUGUGUGACCAUGCAGGGCGCUUCAUCGAUGUGUUUGUGGGUUAUCCAGGUUCUGUCCACGACACCCGGGUCCUGAGGCACAGCCCCCUGUUCCAGUCUGCCGCGUACCCACCCCCUGAUACCUUCUUGUUGGGUGAUGGGGGGGUACCCCUGUCUGAUGAGGCCCAUUUCCCUCAUCACACCAUACAAAAAUCGACUCAGGGGAGUGGCACAACAGAGGUUUAACGCGCAUCACGCCAGAGCUCGUUCAGUCAUUGAGCGGGCUUUUGGCAUGAUGAAGACCAGAUCUUUUUCUGUGCCUUGGAGGUGGAUGUCUCAUUUGUGCCAGAUGUCAUUGUGUGUUGCACUAUGCUUCACAAUGUAUGUCUGGGCAAUGAUGAUGUCCUACAGGUGGAUGAGGAGGACCCUGAAGAGCCCGUCGGGGAAGAGGUGCCCUGAAGAGGUGCCCUGCGAGACAGCAUUGCAGAUCAGCUGUCCGCACUUCAGUGUCUUCCAUCGGAACAAGAUUAUUGUUGAUAAGUAACCGCUUCGCGUGGGGUGUUGUUUGCCCUGUCGGGACUUAUUUUCCCGAUAAUGACCGGCGUUCUAUAGAUUUUCCCUUACAUAUAGUUCUUUGAUUAAUAAAUUGUUAUAUAGUUGUUUGAUGCAUUGUUAUAUAGUUCUUUGAUUAAUACAUUGUUAUAUAGUUAUUUGAUUGAUCCAUUUUUAUAUAGUUAUUUGAUUAAUACAUUGUUAUAUAGUUAUUUGAUUGUAUAUUGUAAUUACAUUAAUUAAGUUAUAACACCGUUCAUGUCAUUGCAGGAACACGGACAAGAGCCUUAAACACCACAUUCACUCCACCCACCUUACUUACUACAUUCACUCACACAAAAAUGACCAAGGAGGGUGGUCGCUCCCUGAGCCUGGGCCCUCCCGAGGUUUCUUCCUACAUGGGAGUUUUCCCUUGUCACUGUUGCCCUUGUGCUUGCUUGACCAGAGGCCUAUCCAGUCGAACAUCGGCCCUCUCCUGCCGCUCCACCUCUCUCCACUGCCUUUCGAUUUCGAGGGCCUCCGCCCUCUCCAUCAUCUCGCCCACGAACGCCAUGCUGUACCUCCUCUUACUCAUUCCUUCCUGGCUCCCUCUCGGUGGUGAGGAGGACACACUUCUUGGUGGGGAGGACACGGCGCCCAUAGAGUUGGGCUCUGCCAUGGUUGAGCUGCAGGGCAAAGAGGCCCGCAGCACGGGUGGUGCGAUGGAGGGCGUCUGGCCAAGCAGCUCAUCCAUGGCAGAGUACCAUGGCCACGAUGCAGCUGUAUCCUCCCCAUUGUCUGUCCCUGUGCCUGUGGGUUGUCCCACUUCUUGCAGGCCUGAAUCGGGCUGACCAUGCUCCCAAGACCAAUGGAAUCAAGCACCUGUCUGAGCAGACAGCCAAUUGUAUCAGAUAUGUAAAUGCCAUUUACUUCUUCAACUGGUUACUGUGGCUGAAGAGUGCCUUUGGAGUAUUUACUUCCACCCUUCCAUGGCACUGUUCUCAUGGCCAGUAAACAGGUGCUCUGCCUCCCCUCUGGCCUUGAUAAACUUGCAUACAUCAGUUGAGGACGCUACAUAGAUAAAUAUUUUUGUACACACAGAAAUAAAUCGCUGUCUUGUACACUAAAUAACGCUGUACAACUGCAAUUUUUUGCACACAAGAUUUUGGUGUAACAUUUUGUGUACAGUUAAAUUUCUUAACUAUCUUGCUGGCGAACUAGCUAUGACAGUUAACAGCAACCAACUGACAGUUAAGAAACCUUGAUAUAUUCUUAAAUAGCAGGUUAUUUUUUACAGUACAUUUUGUGUGCAGUUACAAUGCACAUUACAAUUUCACAUCAUAAACAACCGUACCCUUCCUUAACUAUCUUGCAUUAAAUGCAGAUAAAUACCAGAGCUAACGUUAGCAAGCCCGUUAACAAUCUUCAGCUACCGAUACAGUACUGUCGUAGCGACCUGGCUAACGGAUACCUCGCUAACGAAUUCAGACUAUUUGUUGUUAAUCAAUCAUGGCAUAAUUACAUAGUUAACUGUUUAUUUCUCGGUAGCUUUUCAAAACUAUAAGCAGAAAAAGCAAAGAAACGUACAUUUAUGAAUAAUUUUCUGCAUUUCUUCGAUAGUUUGUUCCCCCAUUUUGUUAAUAUUUUUGGGGGUUUGGGUUUUGAUGCACAGAGUUAUGGGUAAUACCUGCCGCCAU